CUGCUGGAUCUCCUUCUCCCCUCUGUCUCUCCACCCCCCUCCGUCCCUCCCCUGAGAUCUCUCGUCGGAUCUCCGGGUGUCUCCCCGUUCGGGGUCUCUCCGGCCGUCUGUCCCUCGCCGAGGCUCCGUCUCUCUGGGCUACUGCGCGACCGGGCUCCUGGAGGAGCUUCGAGGCUGCUUCCAGCCGCUCAGAAUGUCAUCCCAACUCCGGGCCGCAUCGCCAGCAUUUUUGAUCCGAGAAUGGGGAGGAAUCUGGAUUAGAAGACCCUACUUAGAGAAGUUUGGAGAGCCUGAAUUAGAAGACCUGCUUUGAGAAGGCAGAACUACAGGGCGGCCGAGUGAUCGGAGCGGGGAGGGAAAUUCAGCACCAAAGGGCUGUCCGCUAGGCAGACCCGGUGCCCCGGAAGAUGCCCGUGGUGUCCUGUUGAUGGCGGACUCUGGACAACUGCCCAUUUUCCCAGUGUUCAUAGCAUCCAAGGGGGAAGGGCGAUGGAAUGUUUCAUGACCCUGCUGAGGAGUCACUACACGCAAAUAGCAACUGCAGAAUGAAACCCCUUAUUAGACUCCCGAAGCUGCUGUCGCUGGGUUCGAAUCGAAACGUUGGCAGUGACUGUGAAAGAUGAAUACAACGCAACCACCUGUGGAAAGAUAGCCAUCUGACAGGAAAAGAUAACACUGAAGAGCAAUGGAAGACUUGAGGUCUCCCAGUUUUGUCCUUCAAAAGUGUCCAAGAGCACACUUCAACCCACCUAUGAGAAAUGAUUCUCCUGCGUUUGUUAGAUGAAAAACACUUCUGCUUUUUCCUUUGACGUGAGGAACUUUAUUUUAAGUCUCCAAACCACUGCUAAGGAGCAGAAACAGAGUCCUGCACUGAACUGGCCCCCUGAGGUUGUGAAUGAAGAAUCCAUCUCGAUGCUUCAUUCUUUAACGUUUAAUCAUGCGAUCACCCAUCAUGACAUUGUUCCUUGCAGCCUAACAAUGCUUCCAUUAUAGACUCAGAUCUGUGAGACACUGUAACAGCUAUACAUAUGUGUGAUACUGUGAUACCCAGAUUACAGGAGUAGGAAAUGAA